GACUUCUGGUUUAAUGCACCUGGCCCGCGGCCGCAAGGCCUGUGAGUGCCGGCGCGCGUUUACCAUCCUUCUAGAAAACGGGUCUUCCCUUAACUGGGCCGGAUUCGGGAUCUAGAUCAUUUACUUUGAAAAAAUUAGAGUGUUUAAAGCAGGCUAUUGCUAUGAAUACAUUAGCAUGGAAUAAUAAUCUAGGACUUCGGUUCUAUUUUGUUGGUUUCUAUGACUGAAGUAAUGAUUGAUAGGGAUAGUUGGGGGUGCUAGUAUUGGCCGGUCAGAGGUGAAAUUCUUGGAUUCGGUCAAGACUAACUUAUGCGAAAGCAUU
rnacentral:rRNA from 1 species